GGAAGUGUGGCCGAGCGGUUGAAGGCACCGGUCUUGAAAACCGGCAACGGGUCAUUCCGUUCGUGGGUUCGAAUCCCACCGCUUCCGCCA
rnacentral:tRNA from 1 species